AGUUCCCUAGAGCAUUUGCCAGUCAAAAGUGUUCUUGAGCCGAUAUUGUAAUACCCGGAGGCAACUCGUUAGAUGUUGUUGUGCAAGUCCGCAAGCCGGAAAGCCUUAUGCAUCGCGGGAGCCACCACCUGAACCUUUCGGUUCAGGGCAACUUUGGUAGCGGUGUUCCGGGGGACUU
rnacentral:other from 1 species